rnacentral:lncRNA from 1 species
GUCACGAGGCUGAUUGUGGCUAUAGUCAUCGAAGAUUGAGAGGAGAUUUUAAAUCUUAUUGUUAUGCAUAGCAUAUUUUAAAAAUUAAAAUUAUAUUGGUUUAUCAUCUAUUAUUGUUAUAUUGGUAAUUUACUAAGCUCGUAAAACUCAUUCUCUGUUUUCUAACCUUUUUUUAGAUUCAGAAGAUACUAUAGGGCUUGGGACCGAGCAGUGAGGAGCAUAGGA